GGAUUGAAGAUGACCCCCUCAAAAAUGCAAUCCUUGGAAGCUGAACAAAAUGAGUGAGAACUCCAAUCGUCAUUCUCAUCGGAUCUGAGGUUC